rnacentral:Y_RNA from 1 species
GGUUGGUCCCCAGUAGGGUUUAAAAUGGGACAUUGGUGUUUACAACUAACUGACCCCAACCAGUUACAAAUUCCUUUGUUCCUUGUCCACUCCUACUGCUUCACUUGACCAGCCUUUA